rnacentral:rRNA from 1 species
UGGGGAAUUUUGCGCAAUGGGGGAACCCUGACGCAGCAACGCCGCGUGCGGGAUGAAGGCCUUCGGGUUGUAAACCGCUUUCAGUAGGGAAGAAAAUGACGGUACCUACAGAAGAAGCUCCGGCUAACUACGUGCCAGCAGCCGCGGUAAUACGUAGGGAGCGAGCGUUAUCCGGAUUUAUUGGGCGUAAAGCGCGCGUAGGCGGGCUAUUAAGUCAGGUGUUAAAGCCCGGGGCUCAACCCCGGCCCGCACCUGAAACUGGUAGCCUUGAGUCUGGUAGGGGAAAGUGGAAUUCCCAGUGUAGCGGUGAAAUGCGCAGAUAUUGGGAAGAACACCAGUGGCGAAGGCGGCUUUCUAGGCCACGACUGACGCUGAGGCGCGAAAGCUAGGGGAGCAAACAGGAUUAGAUACC